CUCUGUUACAGAAGUAUCAGGGCGCUAAGGAG
rnacentral:ncRNA from 1 species